CACCGAGUGGUCCACCUCCUGUAACAGCAAUAGCUCAAUAACCUCACAAUGGAGGAAAUCACAGAUGAUUCAUUCCUGUUGUGCGAAUGUAAACAUGCCGGUGUGGGAGUGGCUGGACUUCAGGUAGUUGUGUGAACAGUGGACAGGAAAAGUGCUCCAGGUGAAGACACAUGAAACAAUGGUGCCCUUUGGAACAGCCAUGACUCAUGCCUGAAGGACUGUCUUUCAUAAGAGAAAGUUCAGAGUCCCAUUAAAUGAAAUCUGAGCAAGGCAAAAGGACUCAGGACCACCAAAGGACUGAACUCACCUAUGCAAGGAUCCAAUCUCCUUCAGCCCUCCACCACAUCACACACACAGGCUUUCCCCACAAUACCCACACAAACACACAUCUCUCUCUCUCUCUUUCUCUCUCUCUC